rnacentral:pre_miRNA from 1 species
AAGGUACUCCCUCCAUUCCAAAUUACUCGUCGCAGAAAUGGAUGUAUCUAGAACUAAAAUACAUCUAGAUACAUCCAUACCUGCGACAAGUAAUUCGGAACGGAGGGAGUAUGUU